UACAGAGGUCCCAAACGUUAGGCGGAAUCACUGGGCUUAAAGCGUGUGUAGGUGGAUUUGUAAGUACCUUGUGAAAUCCCAUGGCUCAACCAUGGAACUGCUCGGUAUACUGCGAAUCUUGAGCCACUUAGGGGCUACCGGAACAAAUGGUGGAGCGGUGAAAUGCGUAGAUAUCAUUUGGAACGCCAAUGGUGAAAACAGGUAGCUGGGAGUGUGCUGACACUGAGACACGAAAGCCAGGGGAGCGAACGGG
rnacentral:rRNA from 1 species